CCUACGGGUGGCAGCAGUGAGGAAUAUUGGUCAAUGGGCGGAAGCCUGAACCAGCCAAGUAGCGUGCAGGAUGACGGCCCUACGGGUUGUAAACUGCUUUUAUACGGGAAUAACGCGCCUUACGUGUAGGGUUUUGCAUGUACCGUAUGAAUAAGGACCGGCUAAUUCCGUGCCAGCAGCCGCGGUAAUACGGAAGGUCCGGGCGUUAUCCGGAUUUAUUGGGUUUAAAGGGAGCGCAGGCCGCCUUUCAAGCGUGCUGUGAAAUGGCCGGGCUCAACCCGGGCCUUGCAGCGCGAACUGGCGUGCUUGAGUCCGCGGAAGGCAGGCGGAAUUCGUCGUGUAGCGGUGAAAUGCUUAGAUAUGACGAAGAACCCCGAUUGCGAAGGCAGCUUGCUGCAGCGGAACUGACGCUGAUGCUCGAAAGCGCGGGUAUCGAACAGGAUUAGAUACCCCGGUAGUC
rnacentral:rRNA from 1 species